rnacentral:rRNA from 1 species
AGCAUGGUCUUAGCUUGCUAAGGCCGAUGGCGACCGGCGCACGGGUGAGUAACACGUAUCCAACCUGCCGUCUACUCUUGGACAGCCUUCUGAAAGGAAGAUUAAUACAAGAUGGCAUCAUGAGUUCACAUGUUCACAUGAUUAAAGGUAUUCCGGUAGACGAUGGGGAUGCGUUCCAUUAGAUAGUAGGCGGGGUAACGGCCCACCUAGUCUUCGAUGGAUAGGGGUUCUGAGAGGAAGGUCCCCCACAUUGGAACUGAGACACGGUCCAAACUCCUACGGGAGGCAGCAGUGAGGAAUAUUGGUCAAUGGGCGAGAGCCUGAACCAGCCAAGUAGCGUGAAGGAUGACUGCCCUAUGGGUUGUAAACUUCUUUUAUAAAGGAAUAAAGUCGGGUAUGGAUACCCGUUUGCAUGUACUUUAUGAAUAAGGAUCGGCUAACUCCGUGCCAGCAGCCGCGGUAAUACGGAGGAUCCGAGCGUUAUCCGGAUUUAUUGGGCGUAAAGAGCGCGCAGGUGGUUGAUUAAGUCUGAUGUGAAAGCCCACGGCUUAACCGUGGAGGGUCAUUGGAAACUGGUCAACUUGAGUGCAGAAGAGGGAAGUGGAAUUCCAUGUGUAGCGGUGAAAUGCGUAGAGAUAUGGAGGAAC